rnacentral:rRNA from 1 species
GACAGAGGGUGCGAACGUUGUUCGGAAUUACUGGGCGUAAAGCGCAUGUAGGCGGCAGCGCAAGUCGGGCGUGAAAUCCCACGGCUCAACCGUGGAAGUGCACUCGAAACUGCGCAGCUAGAGUCCUGGAGAGGAAGGUGGAAUGCUUGGUGUAGAGGUGAAAUUCGUAGAUAUCAAGCGGAACACCGGUGGCGAAGGCGGCCUUCUGGACAGUGACUGACGGCUGAGGCG